rnacentral:rRNA from 1 species
ACGGAGGAUCCGAGCGUUAUCCGGAUUUACUGGGUUUAAAGGGUGCGUAGGCGGCUCCCUCAGUCAGCGGUGAAAUGUAUCGGCUCAACCGAUAACCUGCCGUUGAUACUGGGGAGCUUGAGUUGGGUUGAGGCAGGCGGAAUGUGCGGUGUGGCGCGGGAAAGCCCAGCAUGCGCGCUGAGGGACGAAGGCGUGGGUAUCAUACAAGAGUAGAUCUGAGAUUGGGCGACUGAACCGUUUUGAUGGGGGUG